rnacentral:rRNA from 1 species
UACAGAGGUCUCAAGCGUUGUUCGGAUUCAUUGGGCGUAAAGGGUGCGUAGGCGGCGCGGUAAGUCGGGUGUGAAAUCUCGGGGCUUAACUCCGAAACUGCAUUCGAUACUGCCGUGCUUGAGGACUGGAGAGGAGACUGGAAUUUACGGUGUAGCGGUGAAAUGCGUAGAUAUCGUAAGGAAGCCCAGUGGCGAAGUCGGUUCUCUGGACAGUUCCUGACGCUGAGGCACGAGGGCCAGGGGAGCAAACGGG